ACUGACAGGUAAUAGUAACAUACCCACUGACAGGUGAUAGUAACAUACCCACUGACAGGUGAUAGUAAUAUACCCACUGACAGGUGAUAGUAAUAUACCCACUGACAGGUGAUAGUAAUAUACCCACUGACAGGUGAUAGUAACAUACCCACUGACAGGUGAUAGUAAUAUACCCACUGACAGGUGAUAGUAAUAUACCCACUGACAGGUAAUAGUAAUAUACCCACUGACAGGUAAUAGUAAUAUACCCACUGACAGGUGACAGGUGAUAGUAAUAUACCCACUGACAGGCAAUAGUAAUAUACCCACUGACAGGUGACAGGUGAUAGUAAUAUACCCACUGACAGGUGACAGGUGAUAGUAAUAUACCCACUGACAGGUGACAGGUGAUAGUAAUAUACCCACUGACAGGUGACAGGUGAUAGUAAUAUACCCACUGACAGGUGACAGGUGAUAGUAAUAUACCCACUAACAGGUGACAGUAAUAUACCCACUGACAGGUGACAGGUGAUAGUAAU